GGUCAAUGUCACAGUUACUCGAAACAGUAAAAUGGUUUCAUGAUGAUAACUCAAGAAUGAUUACGCCUAGGACCAUGAAACUUCAUAGGUACAUUGAUAAUGACUGGUAGAAGACCCCUAUUGAUUUUCAGGUCACUAGGUCAAAGAUUAAGGUCAUAGUGACUCAAAACAGUUUAAUGGUUUCCUGUUGAUAGCUCAAGAAUACUUAGGUCUAUGAUCAUGAAACUUCUCAAGUACAUUGAUCAUGACUGGCAGAUGACCCCUAUUGAUUUUCAGGUCACUAGGUCAAAAGUCAAGUUCACAGUGACAAAAACGUUUUCACAAUGGCUGCCACUACAACUGACAGCCCAUAUGGGGGGCAUGCAUGUUUUACAAACAGCCCUUGUUCUGUGUUAAAAUUAUGUACACGUCUGCGUUAAAUAAAUAUGUUCACAUUUGAAAUAAAGCUAAAAAUGUG